AACGAACGCUGGCGGCAGGCUUAACACAUGCAAGUCGAGCGCCCCGCAAGGGGAGCGGCAGACGGGUGAGUAACGCGUGGGAACGUACCUUUUGGUUCGGAACAACUCCGGGAAACUGGAGCUAAUACCGGAUAAGCCCUAACGGGGAAAGAUUUAUCGCCGAAAGAUCGGCCCGCGUCUGAUUAGCUAGUUGGUGAGGUAACGGCUCACCAAGGCGACGAUCAGUAGCUGGUCUGAGAGGAUGAUCAGCCACACUGGGACUGAGACACGGCCCAGACUCCUACGGGAGGCGGCAGUGGGGAAUAUUGGACAAUGGGCGCAGGCCUGAUCCAGCCAUGCCGCGUGAGUGAUGAAGGCCUUAGGGUUGUAAAGCUCUUUUGUCCGGGAAGAUAAUGACUGUACCGGAAGAAUAAGCCCCGGCUAACUUCGUG
rnacentral:rRNA from 1 species